rnacentral:lncRNA from 1 species
UGCUUGAUCUGGAGCAUCCUCCGGGUCUACAGACAUCAUGUACAUAUCCUUUUUGGGCUCAUUAGCUGGGUCUUCCAAAAUAUCGCCCUUUAAAACACGUUACAGUGAAUCACAAUUUUUGUCCUUCAAAGAUUCAAGUGUCAUCGCUUGAGCUCCAAGAUUUUUGUUAACAAUUUAGUGAGUAUAUAUCAUUUUGGUCAUCUGUUUCAUUAUGAAUGAAGGUCUUCUAACAAAUAUCAAUAUGGCGAGUAGGUAAAGGGUCAUAUGUUAUGUGCUUCCAAACAUGCAUAAAGCUAUGUCACCAUCCAUUAGAAAGCCUUCCAACAGAGGAUAAUAAAAGUAAAUACCAAAAGAAAAAACAGAC